AGCAGCCCUUCGAUCUCUGCCAGACACAUCACAGGCUUUGAUCUGCUGCAAAAGGGCAUGGAAAGGAAGCCAAAGCCAGAGGUGGACUACGCCAGCAGAGAGCAAGGGAGCUGCGCUGGGAGCGACAAGAGCUUGGACAGAGAAGGACACUGAUGUGGACAACUGCAGGAGGUCCAAAGAGAAACUUCUGUCAGAAAUCGGCUCCCUCUUGACAGAAAUUGCCUUUCUGAAGGAGGUACGAGAGCAGCUGAGGUACAAGGACCCAGAAUCCAGGAAGGAAACCACCAAGGCCCUUACGGAAACCAUCCAAGCCAAGCUGGAGGUGGCUCACGCGAAGAUCGAGGCGGCGGAGGCCAAGAAGGAGACCUUGGAGGCCCAGAGGAGGGCCGAGGAGGCCAAGGAGUCGGCGGAAGCCGCUCAAGCCCGGGAGGACAGCCUCUUGUCCUACGUCUCCAAAAUCGCCACCCUGGCCUACCAGCAGGCUGCCGAGGCCGAGUAUGACUGCGCCCAGGCCCGGAAGGCGAUGGCCGCGGCAGAGGCCAUCAACGUGGCUGCCUUCAGCGAUGCCCGAGGGCACCGCGGCCACAAGCUCCAGCACGAGAAGCACCACCGGAGCUCCCGGAGCAGCCACAGCGACUGCCGGUGUCACCACCACCACGGCCACCACCACGGCCACCACCACGAGCACCGCAGCCACUACGAGACCCAGAGCAACCAGGCCCACUCCGACCUGGAGACCCUGAGCAGCACCCGAUGAGGGCGGGAGGG
rnacentral:lncRNA from 1 species